rnacentral:lncRNA from 7 species
ACUCACACAAAGCAUGGCUGGCUGUGGCAUUGCCAUGCAGCCCAGCUCCUAGGGCAGCUAGCUCCGACAGCGCUGUUUGCCUGGGAUGGCAACUUCAAGUUAGCGAGAGCUUCAGGAGAAAACCACUGGACCUUCUGAGACCACGUUACCAUGAAGAGAGAUCUACAAGCAGCAAAGAUCUGACCCUCAAGAGUCAGACAACCACACUUAGAGGGCACGUGAUCUGGCAUUUAUGCUGACUCUGUGCCAGUGCUUAGACAACAGACUGCAGUUGUUUCACUGCAAAGCUGGAUGGCUGGAGGAAGAUGAUACUGAAGCUGGCAUAAAGCCAACCAAUAUAAAGCUAAAUUACCAGCAUUUAAAAAAAUAUAUAGUUGAACUC